rnacentral:rRNA from 1 species
GACGAACGCUGGCGGCGUGCCUAACACAUGCAAGUCGAGCGGGGGACUUCGGUCCCCAGCGGCGGACGGGUGAGUAACACGUGGGUAACCUGCCUUGUAGAGGGGGAUAGCCUUCCGAAAGGAAGAUUAAUACCGCAUAACAUUGAGAUAUCGCAUGAUAUUUUAAUCAAAGGAGCAAUCCGCUACAAGAUGGACCCGCGGCGCAUUAGCUAGUUGGUGAGGUAACGGCUCACCAAGGCGACGAUGCGUAGCCGGCCUGAGAGGGUGAACGGCCACAUUGGAACUGAGACACGGUCCAGACUCCUACGGGAGGCAGCAGUGGGGAAUAUUGCACAAUGGGCGAAAGCCUGAUGCAGCAACGCCGCGUGAGUGAUGAAGGCCUUCGGGUUGUAAAGCUCUGUCUUCUGGGACGAUAAUGACGGUACCAGAGGAGGAAGCCACGGCUAACUACGUGCCAGCAGCCGCGGUAAUACGUAGGUGGCAAGCGUUGUCCGGAUUUACUGGGCGUAAAGGAUGCGUAGGCGGAUACUUAGGUCAGAUGUGAAAAUCCCGGGCUUAACUUGGGAACUGCAUUUGAAACUGGGUAUCUAGAGUGCGGGAGAGGAGAGUGGAAUUCCUAGUGUAGCGGUGAAAUGCGUAGAGAUUAGGAAGAGCACCAGUGGCGAAGGCGACUCUCUGGACCGUAACUGACGCUGAGGCAUGAAAGCGUGGGGAGCAAACAGGAUUAGAUACCCUGGUAGUCCACGCCGUAAACUAUGAAUACUAGGUGUGGGAGUUGUCAUGACUUCCGUGCCGCAGUUAACACAAUAAGUAUUCCGCCUGGGGAGUACGGUCGCAAGAUUA